rnacentral:rRNA from 1 species
GACGAACGCUGGCGGCGUGCUUAACACAUGCAAGUCGAACGGAAAGGCCCUGCGUUUGUGGGGUGCUCGAGUGGCGAACGGGUGAGUAACACGUGAGUAACCUGCCCUUGCCUUUGGGAUAACUUCAGGAAACUGGGGCUAAUACCGCAUAGGAGCUCCUGCUGCACGGUGGGGGCUGGAAAGUUUCGGCGGUUGGGGAUGGACUCGCGGCUUAUCAGCCUGUUGGUGGGGUAGUGGCUUACCAAGGCUUUGACGGGUAGCCGGCCUGAGAGGGUGACCGGCCACAUUGGGACUGAGGUACGGCCCAGACUCCUACGGGAGGCAGGAGUGGGGAAUAGUGCAAAAUGGGCGGAAGCCUGAUGCAGCAACGCCGCGUGCGGGAUGACGGCCUUCGGGUUGUAAACCGCGUCCGCCUGUGACGGAGCGUGAGUGACGGUAAUGGGUAAAGAAGCACCGGCUAACUACGUG